AGUGGACAUGGCCGAGGCCCGCGGUGUCCGCGUGUGGGAGCUGCAGGGCUGAGGAGAGGCCGCCCGCAACCCUCGGGAAUCGUGUGAGGAACAGAAUUGCCAUUGGGCCCAGGGAGAGACUACACUUCUUGUCUGCUUUGUUGCUAGUGCGGCCUUGUGGCCAAGCACAGAACGUGUGCAGUGAUGAUGGUGCAACUUCUAGGUCGUCCCCAGCAUGGAAAAUGAGCCCUGGGCAUGGAAGAUGAGCCCUGGUCCUGCAGCGGUGCUCUUUCCUCUUCUCACAAGCUGGAAUGUGCAUGUGCUCCCACCCAGCUUUGACCAUGGGGCGAAAACAGUACUCUGCAGUCUGGCAGAGCAACAAGGUGGAAAGGGCCUGGGUCCUUGAGUGACGUCAUGAGCCCUCUCACUGUCCCGACUUUGGGACUGUUAUAUGAUAAGGACUUUCUGUGAGUCACUGUCUUUUAGAGUCUCUCUGUUUUAGCUGCCUGGACUUUAUCCUGAAUAAUAUGGCUGUUAUCAUGGGUAUAGUGUUACUAUGAGCCUCAUCUAAGUAAUUUCUACUCUGCCUUUGACCACUAAACUCAUGUUGGACAAGA
rnacentral:lncRNA from 1 species